rnacentral:rRNA from 1 species
AGGGAAACUGCCCGUGAUAAGCGGGAGGAAGGUGUGGAUGACGUCAAGUCCUCAUGGCCCUUACGGGUUGGGCUACACACGUGCUACAAUGGCAGUGACAAUGGGUUAAUCCCAAAAAACUGUCUCAGUUCGGAUUGGGGUCUGCAACUCGACCCAUGAAGUCGGAAUCGCUAGUAAUCGCGUAACAGCAUGACGCGGUGAAUACGUUCCCGGGCCUUGUACACACCGCCCGUCACACCAUGGGAGUUGGUUCUACCCGACGACGCUGCGCUAACCUUCGGGGGGCAGGCGGCCACGGUAGGAUCAGCGACUGGGGUGAAGUCGUAACAAGGUAACA